AGCUGCUACUCUGCCUGCUGCGUUCCAGACAGACGUUCAAGGGAGAUUUUGCAUCGGUACCUGCUGCUGAGAGACACUGACCAAGCGUCAGGAUUUUACGAGUUGGGAGAGAGAAUGGGUUGCCCAGAUUGGACUCAGUCCCAG